rnacentral:misc_RNA from 1 species
GUGUACCCACAUUCGUGUCUGUUCGUUUUUUUUUACGUGUGUGCUUGUGUUUGUGCGUGCCUCUCGGUUCUCCUCCUCCUCCCACAGCGGUAUAACGGCCCCCCUCCCCCUCUCGGUCUCCUGUGGCGCACAUCUCCUCCGGACGUCAAAUCACCUACACACGAUUGGUUUUUGUUACGGGGGAGCUCCCGCCUUCGUAUUUUGCUUCCGCCCCUCACACAAGCGAACGCUCCGCUGGCUGAAUUGUCUGCGGCCAUUUGCCAUCACCGUCAUCGCCGAACUCCCCCGUUUGAAGAGAGAGGAAGGAAAGCACGAGAUACCGACAUAUCCACCCCGCACCCCACAAAACCCGCACGUGACGCACGACCUGAUCGUACAAAAAAAAUGUCUGACAUCUCAUUUAGUGAGAUAAGCCUUCAUGAGGCGCCUCCCACAGCGGAGGCGACCCCGUCCAGCGCCGUGGUGCUGGGCGGCCGCACCGACCUGCACGUUGGCGACUUUGUUGGCUUUCAGCGCAUCUCGCCAAGCAAGGAGUGGAAGCUGUCCCUCGGCAAGGUGAUCGCUUUACCGACGACGCUCACCGUCAAGGUCGCCCACUUCGACGCGGUUAAUGAGACCACGGUGACGCAGGACCCCAUCUCCGAGCAGAUGGUUCGCCAGAAGGCUGCGGAGAAAGGUAAGAUGGACAUUUGGCACAACCGCGAGGCACUGCGGGAGAACCUCGCACAGGAGUCCGCAAAGGAGAAGGCCGCGACGCAGCGCCUCCUCGCCGCGCGCGACCAGACAGUGACGCGUCAGAUGGCCACCGGCGAUAAAGUGACGGUGUCGCUGGAGAAUCUUGACAAUGCCCGUCGCGGUCUCCGCGAAGUCCCGGUGAAGGAGUGGAGUUUGCUGCGCAAAUCUUGCCUCCCAUCCGCCGAGAUUAUCGGCGUGAUGCGUUCCGUCAUGCUCAUCCUCUACGAAGACAGCGUCACUAAGUGGGAGGGCAUCCAGGAGGUGAUGCACCGCGAGGAUUUUAUGGAGCGCAUAUUGAGCUGGGACUGCACUGCCACCCCCAUGUCGCUGUCGCGCCGUAAGAGGAUUGUUGCGUUGUGCGCCGGCAAGGAUGUGGAGGGCGCUCCUUCAAAGAAGCGCCGUCGCUCAGGCGCCCGCUCGCGGUCCCCGUCCUGCCCGCUCGUAGUCGCGGCGAAGAGCUCGAACUCGAGCAACGUUGCCAUACUCGACAAGAGCGUUCGCGCCUGGAUCAACGCGCAGCUCAGCUGCUCUGAGGCUUCUCGCGAGCAGGAGAUGGUGAUCAACAGCUGCUUCGCCGAGCAGCAGGAGCAGCGCGCGCUGCUGCGCGAGAUCAACGACAUGCGCGUGGGCAUUUCCUUCAUAGAGGUGCAGAUGCUGGAGAUGAAGAAUGCCAUUCUCGGCAUUGAUGACGCGCCGAAGCCGAUCAUGCCGCUCGACGCGUACCCGACCGACACUGUCUUCUACAAGCGCUCCUAUCCGGACGCGGACAGCCGCUUUGUGCAGGAGAUCAUUCUGCGCGAGGCCGUCAUUCACAACUUCGGCCACAUAGCCGAGGAGGAUGCGGAGGGCUACGUCCGCCUGAACCCCACCCAGGUGGAGCUCCUGCGCGAUGCCGUCGUCAGCGCCAACGUGCGCCACGACGCGGAGGAGAUGGAGGAGCUGCUGGCCCGAAAGGAGCGCGAAGAGCAGGAGAUGGCCGAGCUCAGGAGCCGCGUCAACCAGCUGCGCAAUAAAGUGUCGCUCACAGCGGAAGAGGAGGAGGAGCUGGCACAGCUGGAGAAGCUUCUUGCCGAUGCCGAGCGCCGCCACCACGCAACACUGUCCCGCAUUGCUGACCUGUACGCCUGCGGCCGCGGCGCACGCGAGAUCACGCUGGCCAUUAAGCGUCCCGAGUUCUGCUACACCCGUCUGCACUGCAGGAUGUCCGGUGACUGGGAGACGAUCCUCAGCGACCCGGAGCGCUACGGCGAGAUGAUUGCCGCCUUCUGCGACGAUGUGUCAACCUUACUAAACAUCCCUGCCAGCUACGUGCUUGACAUCGAUGCCUGCUGCGGCUCUCUGCUGAUCGACUUCACCGUGAAGCACAGCGGCGACCUCGACGAUGAGCAGCUUCAGGAUCUUGUCAACAACGGCUGCUUUUCCGCCCUCUGUAUGUUCUACGAGAAGGUUACGUUCAAGAAGACGUCGCCUCUCAACACGAGCCAACAGCAGCUGGCGUACGAUCUGGAGCAGCGCUUCAAUGGUCCGGCGCCGAUCUCCGGCAUGGGCAUAAAGCAGAUUCUGGCAGACUACUACAACGCCGACGGCACGCUUGACGAGGAGUUCAGUGACGAGGUGAAAGCGCACAUGGACUACCGCAAGGCAUUCAUCACGAUUCCGCCUCUCCGAGAGGACUACGACGACGUGGCUGUGCGCGGCCCCUUUGAGCAGCACGCCGAGGAUGAAGGCGAGACGCUGAGCGCGGCGGUGCCGAUGAGCAUCAUGGCGUCGUCGGUGGGGGGCAACCGGUACAAGGAGGAGGAUGAGUCUGCCGGCGCGACACAGAUGAGUAUAGGUCUUACUGACACGGGGAACGCUGCACACGAUAUGACGGAGUCGGCGCCAGCGACGGAGGUGUACGGCCGCAGCAUAAAUGGGACCGACAAUGCACAGCCUGCUGUAGAUGCCGCCGCUCCUGCCGCUCCUACCGUUUCUGCCCCCGCUGAGGUGAGGCGGCCCGGGGCCCCCAGCUCGGACGCGGGCAGCUUUUCCAAGUCGUCCGAAAUGUCUAGGAUGGAUUAGUUGUGAACCAAGCUCGGCUCUGCUGCCGCCGCAGCUGAAGCUGAGGUGUGGGCUGUUUCGUGCGGGGCUGCCGAGAAUGGGGUGGCGCCUGCCUACUCCAGCACCAAGGCAUCUUCUGCCGUAACCUUGUCUACGUCGUCGUCCGCGUCAGGGAAGUUUUUCAAAGUGGCUACGAUGAGAGCCACACCGUAGGAAAACGUUGCGGGCGAACUCUAGCCAUCGCACGGAGACCUAAGAAAGGAAAGCAAGAAACAGCAGCGCUCGAGAGACUACAGUAGUGCGGACGGCCAUCGGCUGUACGAGUGACCAGUGUGCGCGAAGGAAAGCCAGUUUUGAUGCCUCAUGGCGGAUUCGCUUUUCCGUGUGAUUGGUUGUGCCUGUUUCGAGGGAUGAUCUGCGUGUUUAUGACGGCUUGUCUGUCUCUGCCCAUGCGCGCCUUCGUCUCUCUCUCUCUCUAUCUGUCUGCCUGUAUUGGUGUGCAUGCGCAUGCGUGUGCGUGUCGUCGUUUUCGUUGUCUUGUAUGUUUUUUUUUUCCUUUUGGUAGUUUCUCCCUCUCCUGUAUCGGUGAUUUCACUUCUCUCGUCUCUUUAGCCCCUUUUCGUUUCAUCGAUGCCUCGCGUGAGCCUUCGUUGCUCUCCUUUUCUUUUUGUUUGUUGUUUGCCCAUCUCCUACGGCCGGUGCUGUGUCUGGUGUCUUCUCCUCCCCUCCUGCUUGUGGCGAACCCACCCCACGCGCCACAGGAAAGAGAGAGGGACACACACACACACACACACACGCACACACACGCAGCACCGCUGAACGACUGACGGAGCCCUGUAUUAGCACAUUUUGGACUCCCUUUCUUGCCGCUUUCCUCUCCUCCACAUGCACCUGUCUUUUGUGUGCUUUUCUUUCUUGUUUCCCGGACUUUAGAGGGCAACUUUUACUUUGUCGAUGAGAGCACACCGACACUCGUGGCCGUCGUCGUCCGUCUUUUGGUGGUGCUGCCGUCGUGACGGUCAUGGCUAGGCCCCUCUUUCGCCUCUUCCCUCCCUACACGUCUCCUUCUACCUGUGCCCGUGUACGUGCCUGUGUGCGAAACCACGUUUCUGUUUUGAUUGUUGCUCAAGUGGCGUCCCCCCUCUGAUAAUGCUGGCCAUCUCACCGUGCUAUCGAGGCCCAGCGCGCACUCUGUGGGGGAGGCCAAGAGACUGCAGCCUGCCCUCGGGUAUUGGUUACGGACUCUUGGUGCCGGCGGACAGGUCUGAACUGGCGCUGUGCCAAAGAGAACUGCGACCAUGAUCGAGUUUGUGCCAUCUCACUCCGAGCUGUGCCGACAAUCCAACAGAUGUACGUGUCCACCUAGCGAUAUGAUCUUGCAAGCAAUGCUCUGAUGGCGCACACCUCACCCGCGCAGCAUGUAGCUUCCCCCAUCGGAUGCCCAUCGCUACCCCUCUAUGCCCCCGCUCAGAUCGACAAGCUAUGAAUUCUUUGUGCGCAGGUACACGUCUAUCCACUGGUCCCUUUCGCUUGGGCACGCCCGCGCUUGUCAGAGGCGUGCGGAUGCAGGAGAGGGUGGUAUGCCCCCCCCCCCCUCCCCGCUUCCGCAGACUCAUAGCAGCGUCCCGCCUGCCGCGGCACAUGCGGGCAAGCCAUCCCGACACGCCCCCGAGGCAACGACGGAAAUGACAGAUGCAGGCAGCGAGCCUCCCCUUACGACAACACCACCGUCCUGGAACAGGCCCCGGGAUGCAGAAGUGUGAGCACUGUGCGCAGAGGCUGCCAUCCACAGCUGUAACGGUGUGCCACAUCCGGCCACGGCAUUCGGAGGGCAGAAGAGCGCGAACGAUGGAAAAGGCGGGAAGCGAUGCACACUGACCAAUCUCAUAGUGAGCGUGUGCGAGGCAUGCGGCAUCUCCUACAUCCGACCACUCAGCACUGAUGGGGCACAGAUGCGGGAAGCAUGACUAGAGCUUCCCCGAGUAGCACCAUCGAGUCCUCCAGACUCCAGCGCUGAGAGUCUCCACGUCAUACUGCGACAUGCCACGGCUUGAAGCAACAAAAAGAGAGACAUGAAACACAGACAGGGUGUAAAGGGUCUCAGAGGGUCCUGGCGUGAGGCUGACCGACUUCCUCCCUGAGCUCAUCCGGCAUGCACCUGGACCACGCCCUGCUGUCUGCACGAUGGGACACCACCGUCUCCGCCAUCGAGCCGGACCCUGAAGGCGUCCCGCCUGGACCGCGGCAUUCAGUUCACCCGGGUCUUUGUGUGGCGCCGAUCAUGCGGCACGCAUCGGAAAAAGGAACGAGGAAGGACUACAGGAGUCCGUACGACACAUGGCCCGAUUCGAAGGCAGACGGUUCGUCCUAGACGACCCGGAUGUAGCAGUAGGGGAGCGCCGGCAGAUGAGCUGUGGCUGUAUGCGUCUAUUAACUGGCGAGCUCGUGGGAGAAUGACACGCUCGAGGAAACACAGAUAUUUAAACGUGUAUGUAUAUAUCGAGUAGCAUCCCGUUCCCACCUUUUGCCCGCCGUAUCGCAAUGAGUUGAAAGAGAUUGCCAUCCUCAUCACCAGAAUGCCUCCCCCCUCCCUCUCGCUCGCUGUUGUACUACGCGUUGUUUGUCUGCUGUUCUUUUUCUCUGUGUGUGUGUGUGUGGUUGGGUGGGUGCCUGUCACCUCUCUCUACAUUGUUCGCCGUACAUCCGAGUCUGCGCAUGCGUGCUGUAUGAUGAGGCGCAGGCCAUGUUUCCACUACAUUGUCGUCCUCGUCCCUCCCCUACCAUUCUCUCUCUCUCUCUAAGUCCGCCUGUAGGAGGGAAUGCCUUUGUGUUGGCGCGCAGCAACAGCGUGGACACAGCCCUCAGGGUGUGAUGGCAGGGGCCGCGGGCGAUAGUAACAUUUUCUGUUGAUGUUCUUCCUUGCGGUACAUGAAAGGCGUAUUUACUUAUAUAGGUGCGUGUGUGUGUGUCUUUCUUUGUUUCUCUUUCUGUGUGUGCGUUUCCAUUCCUGUACCACCGGUCACUAAGACCUCCCCUCCCCUCUCUUCUCUUUUCAGUGUGUGUGUGUGUGGUGUUGCUGGUGGGGGGAGGCGACUUUUUCUGUCGCCAUCUCUCUCUAUUAUUUAUUUUCUUAUGCCUGUCUCUCUUUCUCUGUGCGUGCGUGUGCGUGUGUAUGUGUAUGUGCGUCUCUCUCUAAACUUCCUGCACCCCUCAUUUUUCAACCUUCACUGGCUCCACGUGCCGAACAGAAAGAAAAAAAGAAUUUAUGGGCUGCCCGUGCUUCUCUUUCGCUCACCGUGCCGCCAACCGCGCGUGCCUCAGCAGUAAGCGACCUCGACGCGACGCACUGGGAGGAGUUCGCGAGGGAAAGGGAGAGGAGAGAGAGCACAAGGACGCAAGUUCCCCUAUUUGUUUGUGUGACCAUCCUGGGCCCCUAACUCUCUCUCUUGCCCCCUCCCCUCGCAAGUGCCUGUCUUCUCCCCCUCGCCUUCCCCUCCCCUUGAAUGUGAGGUGUGUCGAGAGGGUUGCGCACGAUGAGCAUAUGGAUUGUGUGCCGUUUUGGUUGCUCUCUUCUUUGCGGUUUCCUGUGGCUGAUGCGUUGCUGUUUUUUUGGUGUAGUUUGUUUGUGUCCCCAUUUCGCCGUCGGGGUGUGCCCCUUCUCGAGGUUGUUUGGCAAACACGCAUACGGCACGCACGUACGUACGUACACGCAUAGUUUUGUACUCAACGCUGUCAAUCGCUACAGCGUCGACCUCUCCACACACCCGACUGCCGUGCGCGCAACGUGUAAUCUCAGCAGAAUAGAAGCGUUACCCCACCUCCUUCCUUGUGUAAGUAUGAGUGUUGCCAGUAUAUAUAAAUCCAUGCAUAUUGUAAAUAUGUAUAGGUAGGUAUAUACGCGUGUGUAUGCAUAUGCAUAUGCAUAUGCAUGUAUAUAUAUGUGUGAUGAUUAGCUCUCCCUCUUUUUGUUUGUUUGAGUGAUCCUCUUCUGUUUGCAACACACACACACACACACACACACACACACACGCUGCGAAGCCGUGAGCCCCAAACAAAUUCCUUCGGUUUGAUAUCCUUCCCUCUCUCCUCCCUCCCCCUUGAAAG